UGGGGAAUAUUGCACAAUGGAGGAAACUCUGACGCAGUGACGCCGCGUGCAGGAAGAAGGUUUUCGGAUUGUAAACUGCUUUAGACAGGGAAGAAAAAGGACAGUACCUGUAGAAUAAGCUCCGGCUAACUACGUGCCAGCAGCCGCGGUAAUACGUAGGGAGCAAGCGUUAUCCGGAUUUAUUGGGUGUAAAGGGUGCGUAGACGGGAAGUCAAGUUAGUUGUGAAAUCCCUCGGCUCAACUGAGGAACUGCAACUAAACUAACUUUCUUGAGUGCUGGAGAGGAAAGUGGAAUUCCUAGUGUAGCGGUGAAAUGCGUAGAUAUUAGGAGGAACACCAGUGGCGAAGGCGACUUUCUGGACAGUAACUGACGUUGAGGCACGAAAGUGUGGGGAGCAAACAGGAUUAGAUACC
rnacentral:rRNA from 1 species